rnacentral:lncRNA from 1 species
UAUUUUAUUAUUAUUUUAUUAUUAUUCUUAUUAUUAUUGUAUUUAUUUGAAGAAAGGUCGUCGUUUUUUUUUUUUUUUUUUUUUUGGAAACAUUGUUUUAAAUCACCAAAGGAUUAUCUAUAGCCGGACAGGUGACGGAUUAUAAAUGAUAUUUGUACUUAAAUGCUUUGUAUAACUUUUGUACGAUGCGUCAAAACUUUGUUUGUCGGUUUAGAACACGAUCGUUACGGAAAAGAAACCUCUAAAACUCUCUUACCGGCGUGGCCUACGACACAGUUCAGCCAUGUUUAUAUAUCGCCCACCUUCAUGUCGGCCGAGAAAGAAAGAACAUUUAAGAUUUGUAGUUCGAAAAAAAAUAUUUUGAAGAUCGAAACGAUUGCAUGUUUA